rnacentral:lncRNA from 10 species
AGCAAAUGUCUUCAGAGUCUUCAGACUGAAUUAUUUCAACCUCUGUAAUGAAUAACUGGCUAUAAAAAUCUAAAGCCCGAUGAUCCUGGGUCUGGAGCAGAUCUCUAAAUAUAAACAUUGGAAACUUAGGCUGGAACAAGGGAAGACACACAACAAAAAGCCUAAGAGUUAAUAUGGCGAGACCAGCAUCACUAAAUCUAAGAAGAGAGAGAAACUGUUGGAGUGCCACAUCAUAAUUCCUGGAUAAAGAUUUGAAAGACCAUUAAUAUAAAUAACACACAUUUAUCUCUGCAUUAGCUUGAGCUGUUCAUUUAUGCAGCAGUAUGUAUGGAGUAUCAUGUAAUUUGACCGUGUUGUAUGAUAAACCUUUAGGAUGAAUUAUAGAUUUAAAACGACUAUCCAUUCUAUAAUGGGUGAACCAAGUAAUGUAAGAAUGAAUCCAUAGUGACAAUUUAAAUUGGAAUUCAAGAAAAAGAACACUUUAUUUGCUUCAUAAAAACCUGUGAGGCAUUGCUAUUGAAUAACGUAAGCAGAAUGCAGUCAUAUAAAUCUUCUUAAUUUACAUCUAGGGCUUUAUUAUGCAUAUUUGAUAGCACUCUGAAGAACUUCAAUUUACAGACUUUUGGAACUUUACCAAUCCCAAAAGAAGUGCUAAACAUGCCUGUUGGAACAUUUAACUGAGAUUCCUGCUUGACUCCUCCAGAGGCAUAACCCCUCAGUACUUCAGUAUCAACAUCUCUGAAGUGGAUAUUAUGAAGCUGGUAAGAGAUUUCUUCUACCAGCAAAAGAUGCCUUCACCAAGUAAGCAUUGGAAAUGAGGGAAGUAAGACGAGAGCUUGACUCUACAGUUUAAAUUAACACAUAAUGAACAAAAUGAGUAGAGACCCAUUUUUAAUACAAAUAACUGUGUCGGUAUACAUUGUAGUGCAUAUAUGUAAUAUAUGUACUUUAUAGAGUGAUAUGUAUGCAAUCAGACAAUGGUACAAAUGUUGAGUCACUGUUACUGGUAUCGCUCACCAAAUGAAGCAUGGAUGAGUUAUCUGUACACAUGUUGGCAUCACUCAUUUAAAGACUCUCAAUGAGAGAGGUUUCCUGUCAGAUUAAAUGCACACAUAUUAGCUUCCUGGUAGGCAAAUCUUUAGUGUGGAGAGGGACUUGUUAGGCUAGCAGAGCCUGGUGGAUUUUUAGCUCUUGUGUCACAUAAUUAAAUCAAUUUACACCAUUUUCAUGCUCAUUAAGAAAACUUCCAAUUGUAAUUUGGCUUCCUGUGAAACCUGUUUUUGUGAGAGUGAUGCUGAAGCUGAUCAGAUUCUAAGAAAUAUAUUUAUCAUUAUUAGAAAAUAAAUAGACAUUGCAGCCUAUGUAUCCUUUUCUUAUAAGCUUUUUUAUUAUGAAUUAUAAUUCUUAAAUUUGAUCACUGUGGGGAGAGAGAUAAUAUCAAA